GAUGAAGAACGCAGCGAAAUGCGAUAAGUAAUGUGAAUUGCAGAAUUCAGUGAAUCAUCGAAUCUUUGAACGCACAUUGCGCCCCUUGGUAUUCCGAGGGGCAUGCCUGUUCGAGCGUCAUUUCAACCCUCAAGCACAGCUUGGUCUUGGGCUUCGCCGCUAACCCGGCGGGUCUUAAAAUCAGUGGCGGUGCCGUCGGGCCCUGAGCGCAGUAAUCUCUCUCGCUAUAGGGUCCCGGCGGAUGCUGGCCAGUAGCCCCCAAUUUUCUAUGGUUGACCUCGGAUCAGGUAGGGAUACCCGCUGAACUUAAGCAUAUCAAUAAGCGGAGGA
rnacentral:misc_RNA from 1 species